rnacentral:rRNA from 1 species
GACGAACGCUGGCGGCGUGCUUAACACAUGCAAGUCGAACGGAAAGGCCUCUUUCGGGGGGUACUCGAGUGGCGAACGGGUGAGUAACACGUGAGUAACCUGCCCUUGACUUUGGGAUAACUCCAGGAAACUGGGGCUAAUACCGGAUAGGAGCUCCUGCUGCAUGGUGGGGGUUGGAAAGUUUCGGCGGUUGGGGAUGGACUCGCGGCUUAUCAGCUUGUUGGUGGGGUAGUGGCUUACCAAGGCUUUGACGGGUAGCCGGCCUGAGAGGGUGACCGGCCACAUUGGGACUGAGAUACGGCCCAGACUCCUACGGGAGGCAGCAGUGGGGAAUAUUGCACAAUGGGUGGAAGCCUGAUGCAGCAACGCCGUGUGCGGGAUGACGGCCUUCGGGUUGUAAACCGCUUUCGCUCAUGACGAAGCUUUGUGUGACGGUAGUGGGUAAAGAAGCACCGGCUAACUACGUG